rnacentral:lncRNA from 1 species
UUAAAAUUCAUACCAGACUAAAAAAAGCCAGAGGCUCCCGCAAAAUUGCGGCGGGGUUAAACAUGUUUUUGAUAUCUUAACCCUCCCCCUCCCCUAUACCUCUAGCCAAUGUAGAAAAACAAGGACACAGAAAUACGCACAGUAAAACUCAGUUUAAGAGAAGUCCGAGUCCGAUGUCAGAAUAUGAAACAAAAAGAACAUAAACAAAAUGACAAUAAUACAUAAAUAACAACAGACUAUACCAGCAAUUACUGACAUGCCAGGUCAAGACCUCAAUUACUAGUAUACUGAUUGAAAGAUUAUGUCUUAUUAUGUGAUUAAGUACUCAUUCCUUCCGUUUUUACCUCCGUCUUUAGAACAACUGAAGAUACAUAAAAUGCA